rnacentral:rRNA from 1 species
UACGUAGGGGGCAAGCGUUGUCCGGAAUCAUUGGGCGUAAAGAGCGUGUAGGCGGUUCGGUAAGUCCGUCGUGAAAGUCCAGGGCUCAACCCUGGAAAGCCGAUGGAUACUGCCGGACUAGAGUCCGGAAGAGGCGAGUGGAAUUCCUGGUGUAGCGGUGAAAUGCGCAGAUAUCAGGAGGAACACCGAUGGCGAAGGCAGCUCGCUGGGACGGCACUGACGCUGAGACGCGAAAGCGUGGGGAGCAAACAGG